CCGCCUAGACAUCCUCGCUGCCUCCCUGCCAAAAAUCCCCAAAUCCUCCUCUUCUCGCCGCCGCCGCCGCGCUGUCUUCCUCCCGCCACGCCGCAGCGCCGCCUUCCUCCCGCGACGCCCGGCCGGCGCCGUCUUCGUCCCGCGGCGCCCGGACGGCGCCGUCUUCGUCCCGCGGGUCCCGGCCGUCGCCGCCGCGCCGUCUUCCUCACGCGGCGCCCGGCAGUCGCCGCCACGCCGUCUCCCUCCGCGACGCCCGACCGUCGCCGCCGGCACCGCCUUUUGCGGAUUCAUUCCUUUGGCCCGUCGCUGCCGGAGCUCGGUGACUGUGGCGGCUACGAAGCACGGCGCCACCACCACUAUCCCGAUCUGCCUCUCUGUCCCCUUACCCAAGUUCUCAAGUUAAUUCGUGAAAUGAUAACAAAGAAUAUAGCUCUUGAUUCAAAAAUCAUUUCGACUAUUGCCACUUCUUUGGUUGCAAGCAAUGAAGGCAAAGCAUUGUUGCAGGUCUUGCCUGAUUUCAGUGCAGAAAUAUCGAAAAGCGACAUCAAUUCACCCCCGGAGUUAUUGAAAAUGUUGCAUAAUGUGUGUCCCCAAACAACUUGAACCUGGCGUUGCUUUGUGAGUCUCAUUCAGGAGCUUUGCUUGCAGCUAUUUGCAUUAUGGGUUACUGCAUGCUAGACCAGAGGUCUUAAAAGCCAGCAAUGGCAGAGGUUACAGCUGCUGUACAUUGGGGGGACAUCAAGCAAGGCCUUGUCACUCUUCAUUGAGCUUUCACACGAUGUCAUGCUCUUCUGGGCCAUCGACAACUACAUCACAGCAUAAACGAAAGGAGCCUUUGCCGGACUCUCCAGCUUCAGGUUAGUGUGCUAGCUAUAAGCUGCAGACAAUAUAUUCAUAUAUGUUUUCCACAGGUCCCAUUCUGUUUGUGUUUACAUGUUCAGUCCUAUCUCCACUAAGGUUUGUCAAAUUCACUUUCUUCCUGCUGUAUUGUAUCGCCUACAAACUAUUUUUCAUAUAAUCUUGCCAUACGCUUAAUUACAUGCAUAUUCUACGUCCUUGCCUCACAUAAGCAACUUUGUUUUGGUACAUAUGGCCCCGUGCCUCUAUGAGCAGCUCAGUUUAUUACUAGAGCAAAUAUGUGCAGUGUGAUUUUCCUUUUUCUUAAAUACCUAGAUUCAUAUGCCCAUCAUGCUAUAUCAACAUUUCUAGCGUACACAACAACACACUGCAUAUUUCAUUUCAUUUAUUUUUCUCACAAAAAUGCUCUUGCUUCACAUGGGAGGCUUCAUUUGCUAAUUCUUCUCCUUUUAUUCAUACUUCAGGUUCAAGGCUUGUAGGUUCCAGCUGCAUGGCAAUUGCUCUUUGGUGUUCCUCUACCUGUUAUUUCCUGGUAUUAUUUCAGUUAUUUUAGUAGUUCCUUGGGAAUUCUUAUUUGUUGUCUAAUCUUUAUCUCCGUAUACAUGAUCAUCAUUUAAUUGUACUGGUAAACAUCAUUCCCUACUCUAUUUUUUAUUGCACCAAGUAGUAUGCAUAAACUGUUAUUCAGUUAAACUAUAGCAUAUAUUUUUGUAUGUGUCUAUGUAUAUAUAUAUAUUUGGCAGUUUCUCACUAGCCAUUUUCGUUCUCUGGGAUUGCAAAGAGCACAAUAAGAGGCAAGCAUUGGACCUUAACUAACAGGAUAACCAAAUAUUGUGAUAGCAUUUUAAUGGUUUGUUCCAUAUUUUGUAAAUCAUGGAUUUAUGGUUUGAUACACGUUUUCAUUGAUUCUUCUACGACCACCAGCCAGGUAAUUUCAAGCUAUUAUAUAUAUACUGAUGCUACAUAUUACUCAACAUGAUUUACAAAAUUAGAAACUGUUUCAUUCCGUUGAAAAUAUAUUUUUAACAGUUACGUGGGAUAUGCAUGGUGUUCAUUAUUUUAUAUAUCAUGUACUAAGAACAUAUUGAUGCUCUUCAUCAAGGUUAAAAGGUGGAUCUACUUCCCUUUUUCUUUUAUUGGUGGCUAAAGUAGAUUGAUGCUAAUUAUUGACAAGCUGGCAAGAAUAUUGAACUCUCAUAUCUGCAGAACUGGCUACAAAUUCAUAGGUUCUGGAUCAUGGAGAAGUAAACCUUGAUUUCUAUUUGUUUUUUUUUCAUGGCCGUCUUAGUAUAGAUUGUAAAAUAUGUACAAUAUAAGUUGCAAUUACUACCUGUGAUGUGCUGACACAGUUUUGAUUGACUAUCCUUCCAAUUAAUCAUCGCCCCAUUGGUCUUCCUGGGUACAGCUAGGUAUUGAAAUACAAAUGUUGUUUAUUUUACUCACGUUGUUGUAAUUGUACUAUGCACCGAGAUACCCAUUGUUAGUGUAACAUUGAUUAUAAAAAAAUUAUGGUACGAUUACAUCAAUCAAAAUUUAGAACA